rnacentral:rRNA from 1 species
CAGCAGUGGGGAAUAUUGGACAAUGGGGGCAACCCUGAUCCAGCAAUGCCGCGUGUGUGAAGAAGGCUUUGGGGUUGUAAAGCACUUUCGGUGGGGACAAACAAGGCGGAGCUAACAUCUCCGCCUUUGAUGGUACCCAAAGAAGAAGCACCGGCUAAUUCUGUGCCAGCAGCCGCGGUAAUACAGAGGGUGCAAGCGUUAUUGGGAAUUAUUGGGGGUAAAGCGUGGGUAGGUGGUUUGUUAAGUCAGGGGUGAAAUCCUCGGGCUCAACCUGGGAAUUGCGUUUGAUACUGACUGACUGGAGUGUGGUAGAGGAUAGUGGAAUUCCCGGGGUAGCGGUGAAAUGGGUAGAUAUCGGGAGGAACAUCAGUGGGGAAGGCGGCUAUCUGGACUAACACUGACAUUGAGGUAGGAAAGCGUGGGUAGCAAACAGGAUUAGAUACCCUGGUAGUCCACCCCCUAAACGAUGGGUACUAGACGUCGGGAAGCUUGUCUUCUUGGUGUCGCAGC